rnacentral:tRNA from 1 species
GGGGGUAUGGCGGAAUGGUAGACGCUACGGACUUAAAAUCCGUUGGUCUCUGAAGACCGUGAGGGUUCAAGUCCCUCUACCCCCA